rnacentral:rRNA from 1 species
CCUACGGGCGGCAGCAGUGAGGAAUAUUGGUCAAUGGGCGCGAGCCUGAACCAGCCAAGUAGCGUGAAGGAUGACUGCCCUACGGGUUGUAAACUUCUUUUAUCAAGGAAUAAAGUGAGGCACGUGUGCCUCUUUGUAUGUACUUUAUGAAUAAGGAUCGGCUAACUACGUGCCAGCAGCCGCGGUAAUACUGAGGAUCCGAGCGUUAUCCGGAUUUGUUGGGUUUAAAGGGAGCGUAGAUGGGUUGUUAAGUCAGUUGUGAAAGUUUGCGGCUCAAACGUAAAAUUGCAAUUGAUACUGGAAGUCUUGAGUACAGUUGAGGUAUGCGGAAUGCGUGGUGUAGCGGUGAAAUGCUUAGAUAUCACGAAGAACUCCGAUUGCGAAGGCAGCUUACUGGCCUGCCACUGACGUUGAUGCUCGAAAGUGUGGGUAUCAAACAGGAUUAGAUACCCGUGUAGUC